CUGUUGUGCUGGUGAGAAACAUGAAUAGGUUGCAAGAAUCCCUCGCUGGCUUUGUAGCAGGAACAUUUGCUGACCCAAAUGUAGAAGCCAAUUAAGCUCUAAAGCUUCUGUGUGUUUUUCUGAUUGAAUGUGUACUUACUUCUCCUGUUGGGAGGAAAGGAAGAAAGUGGAGCCAGGCUCUUCCCAGUGGUGUUCAGUGACAGGACAAAAGAUCACAACUCUGUCUCACAAUUUAUACUGAGAAUACCACAGUGGGGGAAGAAGUGGAUCUGACCAAUUUCCUUGUGUGUAUGAAGAUGGAAUAGGAUCCACAAGCCUUAAUGAUGCUCUUAACAUUUCUCUUCCUGUAAUGAGGCUCAGUGCUUUGUUUCUUCA